rnacentral:rRNA from 1 species
GAUGAACGCUGGCGGCGUGCAUAACACAUUCAAGUCGAACGGAGCUGUUCCUUCGGGGAUAGCUUAGUGGCGGACGGGUGAGUAACGCGUGAGUAACCUGCCCUGCAUUGGGGGAUAACGACCGGAAACAGUCGCUAAUACCGCAUGAUGUAUGAGGGUCGCAUGACUUUGAUACCAAAGAUUUAUUGAUGCAGGAUGGACUCGCGUCCGAUUAGGCAGUUGGCGGGGCAACGGCCCACCAAACCGACGAUCGGUAGCCGAACUGAGAGGAAGGUCCCCCACAUUGGAACUGAGACACGGUCCAAACUCCUACGGGAGGCAGCAGUGAGGAAUAUUGGUCAAUGGGCGCAAGCCUGAACCAGCCAAGUAGCGUGAGGGAAGACUGCCCUACGGGUUGUAAACCUCUUUUGUUUGGGAAUAAAGUGCGGGACGUGUCCCCGCAUUGCAUGUACCAUUUGAAUAAGGACCGGCUAAUUCCGUG